GAUUUUAGAGAUUGGAGAGAUUGGAAAAAAUCUAAGAAAACUAAGAAAAGAGAACGGCUGAAAACUGAAGAAAAAAUCACUGUUUCAUUGCAAGUCUUUUGUGAUUUCUUAAGUUCCUACUCCCUGAAAAGGUGUUCUGGUUAAUAUAGCUCAAAUGGAUUGCAAUUGGGUGUUUGAGUAUCGGUCUUGAAGUUUGCUUGGUCAUUUGCUCGAGUGAGGUUACCUUUUAUUUUGUUCAAACUCAAUUUGGGUGAGCUGGUGUUGCUGGUGUUUGUUGGCUGUUGUUCUGUUGUUGAUUUCCUUCCUUCCCUCUUAUUUACUUUCCCAGGUACCUUCUUAGAUCAUGACUGAGGAGUGAUUUCGAAUAUGUAAUAGAGUGGAAUUUCUGUCAAAUGAAGAUUGCAUUCAAAGAUGAUUUUUCCCUGUUCCUUUACUGUUUUCCAUGUUCUGUAAUUAGUCUUUGAACUAUAAUUGUCAAUAAGGUUCUCUUUUCUCUGAAAUGGUGUAUGUGAAAGUAACCUGCAGUAGUGUGUUACAUUUGCAAAUAACUAUGGACUGAGAUUGAGGUGUUCAAAUGGUCAAAACUGUCCUAUUUCUUUUGAUUCCAUGGUCGUAACUUAGAAGCAUGUGGAUGUAGAUCAUAAAUCUAUUUGUUCAUAGCUUAGUUCCUAAAUCCCUGAAUCCUUGAAGUUAUUUCUCCUGUUUAUGUUACUCUUUCAACAUUAGUGAUGAAUCUGUUGUUGCAUUUGCUACUUAAGUUUUCUUAUUUCUUUCUAAUUAUAUGCUGUGAAAGUUGAAACUAUGCUCUUAAAAGUUUAGUACCAUGUUGCAUUUGGCGGUAGGAAAUCUAUGUAGUAGAUACAUAUAUGGUUUUGAAAAUGGUCUGAUAUGAAAAAAGGGAACGAUGGUCGAAAUUUUUAUUUUUUUUAGAUUAAAGGUAUACUGAUUUGAUAUGGGUUGUGAAUAAGCUGGUUAAAUUGACAUUAGUGUUUAAGUUUCAGAAUCUUUAGCUAGCUCAAAAGUAAAGUUAGUUCAAUUACAUGUUUUCACAUAGUCUUGGUUACCUUGCACGUAAAUGAUUUUUGCACAAAUGUUUGGCUUUAAAAAUGGUAUCCAAUGCUGGCUCAACCGAAGAAAAGUCCAUUAUGGGCUCAAUUGCACGGCCCAUAUCGAUGAAGUAUUCGCUGCUUCGAUUGGGCUCAUUUUGGGCCCAAGCCUGAAGGACAUCGUGAAUGGAUUAUUUACCCUUUUGUUAUGUGGUUUUGUUUGUUUCAUCAUAUGCAGCUCUUUCAUUUAGUUGCUUUAACGUGGAAGUAAUUUUCUUUAGACAAUUAUUUGCUUUAAUACCAUGCCGGUUAGUUGUUUUAUAGGUUUGAACAAUUAAUUAGAAUCCCUUUAAGUCUUUCCUAAUUAACUAGUUUUUUCUAAAAUGGAUCUGAGGUGAGUCAUAGUAGAUAGUAAAUAGUUUAUGGCCCUCUGAACAUUAGUUUGAAUAUCCUUUCAAAAUGGAAUCGAGGUGCGCCGCGCCAAAUAAAAUCUCAAAUGCAUGGCCCUCAUUUAAUUAAUCUUGAAUCCUUAGAACUCGAGGAGUGCCAUUUAGUAAAUUUCCAUGGCCCGCGCAAAAUUAAAACACGUAGUUGCUUUAGGCGCGUAUUUUAAUAAUAUUACCUUCCUAAAUUCGGGUGUGCAUUUCAUGUGACCCAAAUCCAAAUCUUAAAACAUUGAAUAAAAUGUUCUUCGGAUCACUGGUGCAUUUCAUAUGGCGCGAUCCAAAGACAUGUUUUAAACAACGUUCAAUCUUCUUUAAAAUUAAUUAAAAGCGGUUAAUAGUUAAAAUUGAACCAUAGGCUAAAACAUGUAUCAAAAUCAGAUAAUAGGCCAAUUAUGAUAGUUUAAGUGACCGUUCUAGAACCACGAAAUCUGGGGGUGCCUAACACCUUCCCUAGGGUUAACAGAAUUCCUUAUUUAGAAUUUCUGGUUCGCAGACUUCAAAAGGAAAGUCGAAAUCUUCCUCGAUUUGGGAUUUAAAAAUAAAUCGGUGGCUUGGGAAACUAGAAAACAAACCUUCCCAAGUGGCGACUCUGAAUUUAAUGAAUAAAUAAUCCCAUUUCGAAUAAUGUCACUUAAAGUGGAAAAACUCUCAUGUACUACCUUCGGGUACUGUAAAAAGGAGGAGUGACACUGUGUAUUUACAUUGGGACUACGGAUGCGGGAUUCCGGUAGAUCCCCCUUGUCUAUUUAUUUGGGACUACAGAUAUGGGAUUUCGGUAGAUCCCCCUGCACAGUUAUAUGGAACUACAGGACUGCACCAGGUAGAUUUCCUUAGUACUAGGUAUUUAUAUUUGGGACUAUGGAUCGGGAUUCCGGUACAUCCUCGCGCACUGAUAGUUGGACUACGGGGCAGGAUCCCAGGAGAUCUACUCGAUAGGUGUAAUUGGGAAUACUGGAUGGUAUCCUGGAAGGUACUCCGGUUGUUACCUCUAUAUUGAGUUGUAUUUCCUUUCCGUGAUUAUCUUGUCGUUGUUCUAGUUGUUGUUGUUCUUUCUAUCCUAUGUUAUUUCUUACUGUUGCACUUAAUUAUACUGUUUUAUUCUACACUGUCGAACUUUAUAUUUUAUUUCACCUCAGUAGGGCCUUGACCUUUCUCAUCACUACCCGACCGAGUUUAGGCUUGGCACUUAUGGAGUACCGUACUCAUGCCCUUUCUUCGCAUGUUUUUCAUAUGUAGAUCCAUAUACCUUGACUCAGUCCUAUCACCCUUGAGGCAAGGCGACUGUUCCAGAGACUUAGAGGUAUAUUUGUCGCUUCCGCAGACCGAGGAGUCUCUUUCUACUCUCCCUAUUGUAUUAGCC
rnacentral:lncRNA from 1 species